rnacentral:sRNA from 1 species
ACAUAGCCCCGGUUGCAGCGGCAUCCUUUGGCUAGGGAGAGGCGGCGGAGCGAAGCGGAGCCGACCGAGCGCCGACCAAAAGAUACAGCGAAAAACGGGUGGAAAA